rnacentral:tRNA from 1 species
GCCUGGGUGGCUCAGUUGGUUGAGCGUCUAACUUCAGCUCAGGUCAUAAUCUCAUGGUUCAUGGGUGAGAGCCCCAUGCCGGGCU